rnacentral:rRNA from 1 species
CCUACGGGUGGCAGCAGUGGGGAAUAUUGGGCAAUGGGCACAAGCCUGACCCAGCAACGCCGCGUGAAGGAAGAAGGCCUUCGGGUUGUAAACUUCUGUUAUGAGGGACGAAGAAAGUGACGGUACCUCAGGAAUAAGCCACGGCUAACUACGGGCCAGCAGCCGCGGUACUACGUAGGUGGCAAGCGUUAUCCCGAUUUAUUGGGUGUAAAGGGCGGGUAGGCGGGAAUGCAAGUCAGAUGUGAAAACUCAGGGCUCAACCCUGAGCCUGCAUUUGAAACUGUGUAUCUUGAGUUCUGGAGAGGCAAUCGGAAUUCCGUGUGUAGCGGUGAAAUGCGUAGAUAUACGGAGGAACACCAGUGGCGAAGGCGGAUUGCUGGACCGUAACUGACGCUGAGGCGCGAAAGCGUGGGGAGCAAACAGGAUUAGAUACCCCAGUAGUC